rnacentral:rRNA from 1 species
ACUCCUACGGGAGGCAGCAGUAGGGGAAUCUUCCACAAUGGGCGCAAGCCUGAUGGAGCAACACCGCGUGAGUGAAGAAGGGUUUCGGCUCGUAAAGCUCUGUUGUUAAAGAAGAACACGUAUGAGAGUAACUGUUCAUACGUUGACGGUAUUUAACCAGAAAGUCACGGCUAACUACGUGCCAGCAGCCGCGGUAAUACGUAGGUGGCAAGCGUUAUCCGGAUUUAUUGGGCGUAAAGAGAGUGCAGGCGGUUUUCUAAGUCUGAUGUGAAAGCCUUCGGCUUAACCGGAGAAGUGCAUCGGAAACUGGAUAACUUGAGUGCAGAAGAGGGUAGUGGAACUCCAUGUGUAGCGGUGGAAUGCGUAGAUAUAUGGAAGAACACCAGUGGCGAAGGCGGCUACCUGGUCUGCAACUGACGCUGAGACUCGAAAGCAUGGGUAGCGAACAGGAUU